GGCACUUCCUUUUCUUUGGCUAUAACUAUGACUUGCUCAUGUGGUAGCAUGAUAUAUUCUAUGGAAAGCUGCUUUAUUCUACAGCUCUCUUAUUUGCUCAAACAAACUUUGAAGGAGAGCAGACUGAAAAUUACUAAUGCAGAGAAUGUAGAAAGAAACAAAGAGAAAUAUCAGAGAUGAACUCGGUUAUCUUCAUGAAAGGUAAUGAAUUCUGUGGAGCACAAGAAAAUAUUUUACACUGUAGAAUUGGACUUCAUAGCCAUAUCCAUGAAAUUCUUCUUGGUUAUAGAAAUGUUGGACCCUAAUUGCAAAAGAAGGUUUUGAACAUCAGAAAUGACAACAUCCUCCUCCACCAAAAGGCGCCAAAGG
rnacentral:lncRNA from 1 species